UGACUGGGGCGGUCUCCUCCUAAAGAGUAACGGAGGAGCACGAAGGUUGGCUAAUCCUGGUCGGACAUCAGGAGGUUAGUGCAAUGGCAUAAGCCAGCUUGACUGCGAGCGUGACGGCGCGAGCAGGUGCGAAAGCAGGUCAUAGUGAUCCGGUGGUUCUGAAUGGAAGGGCCAUCGCUCAACGGAUAAAAGGUACUCCGGGGAUAACAGGCUGAUACCGCCCAAGAGUUCAUAUCGACGGCGGUGUUUGGCACCUCGAUGUCGGCUCAUCACAUCCUGGGGCUGAAGUAGGUCCCAAGGGUAUGGCUGUUCGCCAUUUAAAGUGGUACGCGAGCUGGGUUUAGAACGUCGUGAGACAGUUCGGUCCCUAUCUGCCGUGGGCGCUGGAGAACUGAGGGGGGCUGCUCCUAGUACGAGAGGACCGGAGUGGACGCAUCACUGGUGUUCGGGUUGUCAUGCCAAUGGCACUGCCCGGUAGCUAAAUGCGGAAGAGAUAAGUGCUGAAAGCAUCUAAGCACGAAACUUGCCCCGAGAUGAGUUCUCCCUGACUCCUUGAGAGUCCUGAAGGAACGUUGAAGACGACGACGUUGAUAGGCCGGGUGUGUAAGCGCAGCGAUGCGUUGAGCUAACCGGUACUAAUGAACCGUGAGGCUUAACCUUACAAC
rnacentral:rRNA from 1 species